rnacentral:rRNA from 1 species
CCUACGGGUGGCAGCAGUGAGGAAUAUUGGUCAAUGGACGCAAGUCUGAACCAGCCAUGCCGCGUGCAGGAAGACGGCUCUAUGAGUUGUAAACUGCUUUUGUACGAGGGUAAACGCAGAUACGCGUAUCUGUCUGAAAGUAUCGUACGAAUAAGGAUCGGCUAACUCCGUGCCAGCAGCCGCGGUAAUACGGAGGAUUCAAGCGUUAUCCGGAUUUAUUGGGUUUAAAGGGUGCGUAGGCGGGCGGUUAAGUUAGAUGUGAAAUCCCGAGGCUCAACUUCGGAAGUGCAUUUGAUACUGUUCGUCUAGAGAGUAGUUGCGGUAGGCGGAAUGUAUGGUGUAGCGGUAAAAUGCUUAGAGAUCAUACAGAACACCGAUUGCGAAGGCAGCUUACCAGGCUACUUCUGACGUUGAGGCACGAAAGCGUGGGGAGCAAACAGGAUUAGAUACCCCAGUAGUC